UAAGACGGAGGGCGCAAGCGUUGUUCGGAAUUACUGGGCGUAAAGCGCGGGCAGGUGGUCUGUUAAGUCGUUUGUGAAAAUCCGGGGCUCAACCCCGCGAAAUGCAGACGAUACUGGCAGACUGGAGAUCGGUAGAGGCUAGCGGAAUUCCUGGUGUAGCGGUGGAAUGCGUAGAUAUCAGGAAGAACACCAGUGGCGAAGGCGGCUAGCUGGGCCGAGUCUGACACUCAUCCGCGAAAGCGUGGGGAGCAAACGGGAUUAGAUACCCUGGUAGUCCACGCCGUAAACGAUGGGCACUAGGUGCCGGGUCUCUAGACGGAUUCGGUGCCGAAGUUAACGCAUUAAGUGCCCCGCCUGGGGAGUACGGUCGCAAGGCUG
rnacentral:rRNA from 1 species